AGAGUUUGAUCCUGGCUCAGAUUGAACGCUGGCGGCAGGCCUAACACAUGCAAGUCGAGCGGAUGAGAGGAGCUUGCUCCUUAAUUCAGCGGCGGACGGGUGAGUAAUGCCUAGGAAUCUGCCUGGUAGUGGGGGACAACGUUUCGAAAGGAACGCUAAUACCGCAUACGUCCUACGGGAGAAAGCAGGGGACCUUCGGGCCUUGCGCUAUCAGAUGAGCCUAGGUCGGAUUAGCUAGUUGGUGAGGUAAUGGCUCACCAAGGCGACGAUCCGUAACUGGUCUGAGAGGAUGAUCAGUCACACUGGAACUGAGACACGGUCCAGACUCCUACGGGAGGCAGCAGUGGGGAAUAUUGGACAAUGGGCGAAAGCCUGAUCCAGCCAUGCCGCGUGUGUGAAGAAGGUCUUCGGAUUGUAAAGCACUUUAAGUUGGGAGGAAGGGUUGUAGAUUAAUACUCUGCAAUUUUGACGUUACCGACAGAAUAAGCACCGGCUAACUCUGUGCCAGCAGCCGCGGUAAUACAGAGGGUGCAAGCGUUAAUCGGAAUUACUGGGCGUAAAGCGCGCGUAGGUGGUUUGUUAAGUUGGAUGUGAAAGCCCCGGGCUCAACCUGGGAACUGCAUUCAAAACUGACAAGCUAGAGUAUGGUAGAGGGUGGUGGAAUUUCCUGUAGCGGUGAAAUGCGUAGAUAUAGGAAGGAACACCAGUGGCGAAGGCGACCACCUGGACUGAUACUGACACUGAGGUGCGAAAGCGUGGGGAGCAAACAGGAUUAGAUACCCUAGUAGUCC
rnacentral:rRNA from 1 species